UGAAAUAAAACAAAACUGUAAGAAGCCCAG
rnacentral:piRNA from 1 species